rnacentral:rRNA from 1 species
AAUCAACGCUGGCGGCGUGCCUAACACAUGCAAGUCGAACGAGAAAGUGGAGCAAUCCAUGAGUAAAGUGGCGACCGGGUGAGUAACACGUGACUAACCUACCCUCGAGUGGGGGAUAACUCCGGGAAACCGGAGCUAAUACCGCAUAACAUCGCAGGAUCAAAGCAGAAAUGCGCUUGAGGAGGGGGUCGGCGGCUGAUUAGCUAGUUGGUAGGGGUAAGUGGCCUACCAAGGCNGAGAUCGGUAGCCGGCCUGAGAGGGCGCACGGCCACACUGGAACUGAAAC